rnacentral:rRNA from 1 species
AGUUAAGAUACUAAGAGCAUACGGGGGAUGCCUUGGCGAUAUCUGCCGAAGAAGGACGUGACAAGCUGCGAAAAGCUGCGGAGAGAUGCAAAUAAUCUUAGAC